rnacentral:rRNA from 1 species
GACGAACGCUGGCGGCGCGCCUAACACACGCAAGUCGAACGGGAUCUAUUGGAGCUUGCUCUGGCAGAUCUAGUGGCGGACGGGUGAGUAACACGUGAGCAACCUGCCCUUAAGAGGGGGAUAACGUCUGGAAACGGACGCUAAUACCGCAUAACAUACCGAAGUGGCAUCGUUUUGGUAUCAAAGGAGAAAUCCGCUUAAGGAUGGGCUCGCGCCCGAUUAGAUAGUUGGCGGGGUAACGGCCCACCAAGUCGACGAUCGGUAGCCGGACUGAGAGGUUGAUCGGCCACAUUGGGACUGAGACACGGCCCAGACUCCUACGGGAGGCAGCAGUGGGGAAUAUUGCGCAAUGGGGGAAACCCUGACGCAGCAACGCCGCGUGAUUGAAGAAGGCCUUCGGGUUGUAAAGAUCUUUAAUCAGGGACGAAGGAAGUGACGGUACCUGAAGAAUAAGCUCCGGCUAACUACGUGCCAGCAGCCGCAGUAACAC